rnacentral:rRNA from 1 species
GAAGAGAGAGUUAAAGAGGACGUGAAACCGAUUGGAUUGAAAACGGAUAGAGCUGACGUGUGUAGUAGCUUUGCAUUCAGCUGACUUGCUGUUUUGACUUUGUCGGCAUUCCAUGCAAAUGGGUGUUAUGUUAUGAGGUCGUAAUUAGCAGUAAGUCGGUGCAUUUGCAAGUGAAGUGCGCUGAGGGCUGUCUUGCAGCGGUACGAUCUUUGCAUUGAGGACUCUCUUCGGGGGGUAUUCCGUGUAGAAGGAAGACUGUUUGUGGGACGGCUUACUGGGCAUAUUCUAUGAACCGGUUAACUGCUGAGGGUGUUAAGGGAUGUGUCUGCAUGCGGACGCGCUCUUGGCUAACUUGGUGGAUGGCUUGGUUCGUUUGCCUAGCUCGGUGUAAUAGUCGGUCAUCUAUCCGACCCGUCUUGAAACACGGACCAAGAAGUUUACCAAGUAUGCGAGUCAUUGAGUGUUUAAACUCAUAGGCGUAACGAAAGUAAAGGUUCCUCGUGGACUAAUAUGCGAUCCUUUGUACUUCGGUGCAGAGGCGCAGCAUAGCCCCAUUCUAAUUGCUUGCAAUAGGGUGGAGGUAGAGCAUACUUGGUAAGACCCGAAAGAUGGUGAACUAUGCCUGAGCAGGACGAAGCCAGAGGAAACUCUGGUGGAAGUCCGAAGCGGUUCUGACGUGCAAAUCGAUCGUCUGACUUGGGUAUAGGGGCGAAAGACUAGUCGAACCAUCUAGUAGCUGGUUCCUUCCG